UACGUAGGGUGCGAGCGUUGUCCGGAAUUAUUGGGCGUAAAGGGCUCGUAGGCGGUCUGUCACGUCGGGAGUGAAAACACGGGGCUUAACCCCGUGCCUGCUUCCGAUACGGGCAGACUAGAGGUAUGCAGGGGAGAACGGAAUUCCUGGUGUAGCGGUGAAAUGCGCAGAUAUCAGGAGGAACACCGAUGGCGAAGGCAGAUCUCUGGGCCGUAACUGACGCUGAGGAGCGAAAGCAUGGGGAGCGAACAGG
rnacentral:rRNA from 1 species